rnacentral:misc_RNA from 1 species
GAAAUGCGAUAAGUAAUGUGAAUUGCAGAUUCCGUGAAUCAUUAAAUCUUUGAACGCACAUUGCGCCCUCUGGUAUUCCUCAGGGCAUGUCUGUUUGAGAAUCAGUUUAAUCAUCAAAGCUUGGCUCUUGGGAAACCUCGAUUUCAAGCCUUGGACUUGAGUUGUGUUUGCGCAAGCUGACCUACUUUAAUUGUAUUUGUGGCCUCGAUAAUCACGACUUGUAUACGGAAGGCAUGACCAUUGAACGCAAGUUCUUAAUGAUUGCUGAUAAAGUAGACUUGACCCGUGGCUAUUGCAGAUCCAAAAUUUAAACACGAAGUGCGGCUAAACCCAAUCUUUAAGACUUGAUCUCAAAUCAGAUAAGACUACCCGCUGAACUUAA